UACGGAGGAUGCGAGCGUUAUCCGGAUUUAUUGGGUUUAAAGGGUGCGUAGGCGGAUUUGUAAGUCAGCGGUAAAAAUGCGGUGCUCAACGCCGUAUCGCCGUUGAAACUGCGGGUCUUGAGUGAGCGAGAAGUAUGCGGAAUGCGUGGUGUAGCGGUGAAAUGCGUAGAUAUUAGGAGGAACACCAGCGGCGAAGGCGGCUUACUGGACCGUGACUGACGUUGAGGCUCGAAAGCAUGGGUAGCGAACAGG
rnacentral:rRNA from 1 species